rnacentral:lncRNA from 1 species
UAGUUUGGAAGUUGUCUUCCAAUCGUCUCUCAUCUCGAUACAGUUACCUAUAACACCCCUAACCCGUCUCCAUCGUCGGAUUAAGGUUAAUGGGUAUUACGUCACAUAACAAAACAAUUUACAUCAUUAAACCAUUCAUUGAAUAUCAAAUAUUCAAAUCUAAAUAUCAUUUGUAGCAUAUAUAUACAAUCAGGGACCAAUUUGAAAUAAAAAAGAAAAAAAAAGUAGAAAAAUUAAAAACAGGGGU